rnacentral:tRNA from 1 species
GGAGGAGUGGCAGAGUGGUUGAAUGCGGCGGUCUUGAAAACCGUUGAGCUCGAAAGGGCUCCGGGGGUUCGAAUCCCUCCUCCUCCGCCA